rnacentral:rRNA from 1 species
AGCAGCCGCGGUAAUUCCAGCUCCAAUAGCGUACAUUAAAGUUGUUGCAGUUAAAAAGCUCGUAGUUGAAUUUCGGGAUCAAAUUGUCGGUCGUGCCAAUUGGUACGCACUGGCAUUAUUGGUUCCUAUCUUCUGAAAAACCGCGAUUGUCAUUAAUUUGGUGUCAUGGGGAAUCAGGACUGUUACUUUGAAAAAUUAGAGUGUUUAAAGCAGGCGCACGCUUGAAUACAUUAGCAUGGAAUAAUGAAAUAGGACGUUUGAUUCUAUUUUGUUGGUUUCUAGGAUCGACGUAAUGAUUAAUAGGGAUAGUUGGGGGCAUUAGUAUUCAAUUGUCAGAGGUGAAAUUCUUGGAUUUAUUGAAGACUAACUACUGCGAAAGCAUUUGCCAAGGAUGUUUUCAUUAAUCAAGAACGAAAGUUAGGGGAUCGAAGACGAUCAGAUACCGUCGUAGUCUUAACCAUAAACUAUGCCGACUAGGGAUCGGAUGAUGUUAAUUUUUUAAUGACUCA